GACGAACGCUGGCGGCGUGCCUAAUACAUGCAAGUCGAACGAUACUUUCUUACACCGAAUGCUUGCAUUCACCGUAAGAAGUGGAGUGGCGGACGGGUGAGUAACACGUGGGUAACCUGCCCAACAGAAGGGGAUAACACUUGGAAACAGGUGCGAAUACCGUAUAUCUCUAAGGAUCGCCUGAUCCUUAGAGGCAAGAUGGUUCUGCAAUCGCUUUUAUAUGGACCCGCGGCGUAUUAACUAGUUGGUGGGGUAACGGCCUACCAUUGUGAUGAUGCGAAGCCGAAAUGAGAGGUUGAUCGGACACAUUGGGACUGAGACACGGCCCAACCUCCUACGGGAGGCAGCAGUAGGGAAUCUUCCACAAUGGACGCAAGUCUGAUGGAGCAACGCCGCGUGAGUGAAGAAGGUCUUCGGAUCGUAAAACUCUGUUGUUAGAGAAGAACACUAGUGAGAGUAACUGUUCAUUCGAUGACGGUAUCUAACCAGCAAGUCACGGCUAACUACGUGCCAGCCGCCGCCGUAACAC
rnacentral:rRNA from 1 species